AAUCAAGCAAUUUUAAUUUGUUCACAUGGUACACUCAAACUUACACGUGCUCUGACCGGAACAGACAAGCUUACAGAUACACCAAAGUUGUAAUACGUGAAUAAAGAAAUUGUUACUGGAAUUUGCAUGAACUUGUUUUUUAUGAUCUGAUUUAACCAUGAAUAAGGGCCUGUGUACCUUGCAUCAUUCUCAAUUCGCGGUUUGAUCCUGAGCUCAGUUUGCUGAGAGGAGCGAAGGCUAGCCCAUCCUGUCUGAUCCACAGAAGAGCUACUGUAGCACAAAUUGCUGAAAAGGUUAAUGCUGGCUAUGACAGAAAGGUGUCAGAACACACAGUGCAUCGCAGCUUGGUGUGUAAGGUGUUGCGUAGCUGCAGACUGUUCAGUGUGUCCAUGCUGACCCCUGUCCACUGCCAGAAGUGCCUAUAAUGGGCACAUGAGCAUCAGAACUGGACCAUGGAGCAAUGGAAGAAGGUGGCCUGGUCUGACGAAUUACAUUUUCUUUUACAUCAUGUGGACGGCCGGGUGCAGGUGCGUUGCUUACCUGAGGAAGAGAUGGCACCAGGAUGCACUAUGGGAAGAAAGCAAGCUGGUGGAGGCAGUGUGAUGCUCUGGGCAGUGUUCUGCUGGGAAACCUUGGGUUCUGGCAUUCAUGUGGAUAUUACUUUGACACGUACCACCUACCUAAACAUUGUUGCAGAUCAAGUACACCACUUGUGGGAUGUGCUGGACAAACAAGUCUGAUCUGUGGAGGCCCCACCUCGCAACUUACAGGACUUGGAGGAUCUGCUGCUAACGUCUUGGUGUCAGAUACCACAGCACACCUUCAGAGGUCUUCGGUGUAUACGCGGGAGUUUGAUUCAGUUAUUUAGCACUACAUGCAUUUCAAUGAGGCUUCCCAAAUAUGAUUGGUGCCAUAGACUGCACACAAAUUCCAAUCAAGGCCCCAAUGAAGGUGAUUUUGUGAACAGAAAGAAGGUUUACAGUAUAAACAUGCAGGGGCUUACUUCUUGACUCCAUUCCCUGACUCAAACCCCGGUCAACAAACCUGUUACAAUGCAGCUCCAGCCAUGACAAGGGCACGCAUUGAAAUGACAAUCAGCCAACUGAAGGGAAGAUUUCAGUGUGUGAAAAGGCUGAAGGUUGCACCUGACAGGGCCUGCGACAUUAUCGUUGCAUGCUCUGUACUACACAACACUGCCACCAUCAGAAAAGAGACGACCCCUGUGGUGGAGGCGCAGCCUGAUGAUGACCUCCAGCCAGUGCACUUGGACCAUCCUAGUGGAAGAGCUGCAGGGGAUAGAACUGUGCAACACCAUUUCUGAUUGACCUUUUUGAAUAAAGAAAAAACAUAAACAUGCUUUGACCCAUAUGCAUUUUAUUCUCUUCCCUCCCAGUCAAAGGCAGCAUUCAG